GACGUAGGGUGCGAGCGUUGUCCGGAAUUAUUGGGCGUAAAGGGUGCGUAGGCGGCUUUCUAAGUUGGAUGUGAAAACUAUGGGCUCAACCCAUAGCCUGCAUCCAAAACUGGAGAGCUUGGGUUCUGGAGGGGAAAGCGGAAUUCCUGGUGUAGCGGUGAAAUGCGUAGAUAUCAGGAGGAACACCGGUGGCGAAGGCGGCUUUCUGGACAGAUACCGACGCUGAGGCACGAAAGCUAGGGGAGCAAACAGG
rnacentral:rRNA from 1 species